GAUGAACGCUGGCGGCGUGCCUAAUACAUGCAAGUCGAACGCAUAGCGAAAGGUGCUUGCACCCUUCAAGUGAGUGGCGAACGGGUGAGUAACACGUGGACAACCUGCCUCAAGGCUGGGGAUAACAUUUGGAAACAGAUGCUAAUACCGAAUAAAACUUAGUGUCGCAUGACACAAAGUUAAAAGGCGCUUCGGCGUCACCUAGAGAUGGAUCCGCGGUGCAUUAGUUAGUUGGUGGGGUAAAGGCCUACCAAGACAAUGAUGCAUAGCCGAGUUGAGAGACUGAUCGGCCACAUUGGGACUGAGAAACGGCCCAAACUCCUACGGGAGGCUGCAGUAGGGAAUCUUCCACAAAGGGCGAAAGCCUGAUGGAGCAACGCCGCGUGUGUGAUGAAGGCUUUCGGGUCGUAAAGCACUGUUGUAUGGGAAGAACAGCUAGAAUAGGAAAUGAUUUUAGUUUGACGGUACCAUACCAGAAAGGGACGGCUAAAUACGUG
rnacentral:rRNA from 1 species